rnacentral:rRNA from 1 species
GACGUAGGGCGCGAGCGUUGUCCGGAUUUAUUGGGCGUAAAGAGCUCGUAGGCGGCUCGUUGCGUCAACCGUGAAAACCCGGGGCUUAACUUCGGGCUUGCGGUUGAUACGGGCGGGCUGGAGUUCGGUAGGGGAGACUGGAAUUCCUGGUGUAGCGGUGAAAUGCGCAGAUAUCAGGAGGAACACCGGUGGCGAAGGCUGGUCUCUGGGCCGAUACUGACGCUGAGGAGCGAAAGCGUGGGGAGCGAACAGG